rnacentral:rRNA from 1 species
UUCCGGUUGAUCCUGCCGGAGGUUACUGCUAUCGAGGUUCGACUAAGCCAUGCGAGUCGAAUGUAGCAAUACAUGGCGUACUGCUCAGUAACACGUGGACAACCUACCCUCCGGACGGGUAUAAACCCGGGAAACUGGGUAUAAUCCCCGAUAGAUCUCGGUCGCUGGAAAGCCCCGAGAUCGAAAGCUCCGGCGCCAGAGGAUGGGUCUGCGGCCUAUCAGGUAGUAGUGGGUGUAGCGUACCUACUAGCCUACGACGGGUACGGGUUGUGAGAGCAAGAGCCCGGAGAUGGAUUCUGAGACACGAAUCCAGGCCCUACGGGGUGCAGCAGGCGCGAAAACUUUACAAUGCCGGCAACGGCGAUAAGGGGACCUCGAGUGCCAGGUUACAAAUCUGGCUGUCGUGAUGCCUAAAAAGCAUUGCAUAGCAAGGGCCGGGCAAGACCGGUGCCAGCCGCCGCGGUAACACCGGCGGCUCGAGUGGUAACCGUUAUUAUUGGGUCUAAAGGGUCUGUAGCCGGCCGGAUAAGUCUCUUGAGAAAUCCAGCAGCUCAACUGUUGGGCUUUCAGGAGAUACUGUCUGGCUCGAGGCCGGGAGAGGUGAGAGGUACUUCAGGGGUAGGGGUGAAAUCUUGUAAUCCUUGAAGGACCACCAGUGGCGAAGGCGUCUCACCAGAACGGACCUGACGGCAAGGGACGAAAGCUAGGGGCACGAACCGGAUUAGAUACCCGGGUAGUCCUAGCCGUAAACGAUACUCGCUAGGUGUCGGCCACGGUGCGACCGUUGUCGGUGCCGUAGGGAAGCCGUGAAGCGAGCCACCUGGGAAGUACGGCCGCAAGGCUGAAACUUAAAGGAAUUGGCGGGGGAGCACCACAACGGGUGGAGCUUGCGGUUUAAUUGGAGUCAACGCCGGAA